GAAGGCUUCGGCCUUAGUGGCGCACGGGUGCGUAACGCGUGGGAAUCUGCCCUUGGGUUCGGAAUAACAGUUAGAAAUGACUGCUAAUACCGGAUGAUGACGAAAGUCCAAAGAUUUAUCGCCCAGGGAUGAGCCCGCGUAGGAUUAGGUAGUUGGUGGGGUAAAGGCCUACCAAGCCGACGAUCCUUAGCUGGUCUGAGAGGAUGAUCAGCCACACUGGGACUGAGACACGGCCCAGACUCCUACGGGAGGCAGCAGUGGGGAAUAUUGGACAAUGGGGCGAAAGCCCUGAUCCAGCAAUGCCGCGUGAGUGAUGAAGGCCUUAGGUUCGUAAAGCUCUUUUACCAGGGAUGAUAAUGACAGUACCUGGAGAAUUAAGCUCCGGCUAACUCCGUGCCAGCAGCCGCGGUAAUACGGAGGGAGCUAGCGUUGUUCGGAAUUACUGGGCGUAAAGCGCACGUAGGCGGUUAUUCAAGUCAGAGGUGAAAGCCCGGGGCUCAACCCCCGGAACUGCCUUUGAAACUAGAUGACUGGAAUCUUGGAGAGGUCAGUGGAAUUCCGAGUGUAGAGGUGAAAUUCGUAGAUAUUCGGAAGAACACCAGUGGCGAAGGCGACUGACUGGAC
rnacentral:rRNA from 1 species